rnacentral:rRNA from 1 species
AUGAACGUUAGCGGCGUGCCUGAUGCAUGCAAGUCGAACGGUUUGAUGGUUCGCAAGGAUUAUCGGACAGUGGCGAACGGCUGAGUAACGCGUAAGUGACCUACCUCCAAGUGGGGAAUAACCUGCCGAAAGGCAGGCUAAUACCGCAUGUUCUGGUAAGCGUCAGCUUAUCAGCAAAGCUUUUGCGCUUGAGGAGGGGCUUGCGUCUGAUUAGAUAGUUGGCAGGGUAAUGGCCUACCAAGUCGAUGAUCAGUAGCUGGUCUGAGAGGACAACCAGCCAGACGGGGACUGAGAUACGGCCCUGACUCCUACGGGAGGCAGCAGCAAGGAAUUUUGCGCAAUGGGCGAAAGCCUGACGCAGCGACGCCGCGUGGGGGAUGACGGCCUUCGGGUUGUAAACCCCUUUUCAUGAGGAAGAAAUAUGACGGUACUCGUGGAAUAAGUCUUGGCUAACUACGU